UACGUAGGGUGCGAGCGUUAAUCGGAAUUACUGGGCGUAAAGCGUGCGCAGGCGGUGAUGUAAGACAGGUGUGAAAUCCCCCGGGCUUAACCUGGGAACUGCAUUUGUGACUGCAUCGCUGGAGUGCGGCAGAGGGGGAUGGAAUUCCGCGUGUAGCAGUGAAAUGCGUAGAUAUGCGGAGGAACACCGAUGGCGAAGGCAAUCCCCCUGGGCCUGCACUGACGCUCAUGCACGAAAGCGUGGGGAGCAAACAGG
rnacentral:rRNA from 1 species